rnacentral:rRNA from 1 species
UUGGAGGGCAAGUCUGGUGCCAGCAGCCGCGGUAAUUCCAGCUCCAAUAGCGUAUAUUAAAGUUGUUGCAGUUAAAAAGCUCGUAGUUGAAUUUCGGAAUCUGUCCGUCGGUCGGGCUUCAUUGUCCGUACUGGUGUGACGGGUUUCUACCUUCUGAAUAAUCGGCAUGUCAUUAAUUUGGUGCGCCGGGGAAGCAGAACUAUUACCUUGAAAAAAUUAGAGUGCUUAAAGCAGGCUAUCGCCUGAAUAGAUUAGCAUGGAAUAAUAAAAUAGGACGGCAUGGUUCUAUUUUGUUGGUUUCUAGGAUCACCGUAAUGAUUAAUAGGGAUAGUUGGGGGCAUUAGUAUUCAAUUGUCAGAGGUGAAAUUCUUGGAUUUAUUGAAGACUAACUUCUGCGAAAGCAUUUGCCAAGGAUGUUUUCAUUAAUCAAGAACGAAAGUUAGGGGAUCGAAGACGAUCAGAUACCGUCGUAGUCUUAACCAUAAACUAUGCCGACUAGGGAUCGGACGAUGUUAAUUUUUUAAUGACUCGUUCGGCGCCUUACGGGAAAC